rnacentral:lncRNA from 1 species
GCUAAUUCCAAAACACUUACUUCACUUCUCAGCUACUGGUCUUCUUCUAAUUCAACUCUUCGUCAUCAUCCUUCUUCUUGUGCCCUCACUCUCCAUUGCGGCGCCGCCGUCUUUGUCUCUUCCUCUUCCCCUUUCACUUCCCCAAUUCCAAUUCAAGUUUCGUGGUAUCAUUCUAUUCUCACAAUUUCAAUUUCUAUCUUCCUUUCCAUCAGCUGAUCCUGUAGUUGACUUUGAUUUUCAGAUUGUGGCCACACUUGGAAUCGAUGCACAGCCUUAACGUGAUUAUGAGCCUCUUUAGAUUAUGAUUUCGUGUGCUCCUGCUUCCGGAAAAGGCACUCAAUACGAGCUUAUCAAACAC